CAGCAGCCACGGUAAUACAGAGGGUGCGAGCGUUAAUCGGAUUUACUGGGCGUAAAGCGUGCGUAGGCGGCUUUUUAAGUCGGAUGUGAAAUCCCUGAGCUUAACUUAGGAAUUGCAUUCGAUACUGGGAAGCUAGAGUAUGGGAGAGGAUGGUAGAAUUCCAGGUGUAGCGGUGAAAUGCGUAGAGAUCUGGAUGAAUACCGAUGGCGAAGGCAGCCAUCUGGCCUAAUACUGACGCUGAGGUACGAAAGCAUGGGGAGCAAACAGGAUUAGAUACCCGGGUAGUCCCUGUCUCUUAUAC
rnacentral:rRNA from 1 species